CCCCGCGGGCCCCUGGCCAUGGACGCCGCACCCUCCCCGGACGGGCGCACCGGAUCCUCCUCCAGGUUUUACUGCCUCCCUGGCCUUGGGGGCCGCCUCUGAGGACCCGGCUUCCCGCCACUUUGGGCCGAACGAGGAGGGGGCGGGGGUGGUCACCUUCCUAGGUCGGGGCCCCAGCCUGAGGAGAAACCGGCCCGAAACACCCCGGAGCAGAGGGUCUUACACGCCGCCCUCCCCCGCUCCUGCGCGCACACACACUGAACCGACACGGAUCACAACUACACCCGCUGGAUCUACCUUCCCGGCGGGAGGAUAACCAAAAGCCAUACCCCGACCGGCUGAUAAAAGUCAGAGAUGGGCGAGUGGCCCUGAAAGGCAGGCGCAGCAGACUCCAGAGAAACGUGCCGUCCAUUCUCUGAACCCCAGGACACCUGCGGCCUCGUGGAUCGGCACCUCAAAGUCCCAGCUCCUCGGCGUCUCUCUGUCUCUCUCUCUCUCUAAAAUUGGUUCGGAGAUCAAACCAAAUUAGCUUACCUCUUCAAACUCUCUAACCCACUCUUUUUUGAACAGAGGUCGACAAAGACACUUUACCAUUAAUCUCUGUAAAGAUUAAGUGAAGAAUGAAAUUGAAGAUCUUACAUAUAUGGAUGGGAUGAGUGAGGUAUGACUAUUGAAUAGGACUGUUUUCACCAGUGCUGCGGAGUCGUUCGUCUCAUUCAUCUGAAAUUAACUCACAAGUGGUUACCUGAAAUACAAAUUUGGGCAGCGCAAAUGGCCACCUGGCUUCCUGUGGGGACACAGGUGAGAAAGCUUGGACUUGAAGGGGCUUCUUCUCUAAUCCCAUGGUCCAUGAACAGUUCAGCAUGGAAAGAUUUCAGGUUAUCUGGGCCAAAGACUUGAUGACUGUAACUUCCUGUUUUGCUCCAAAACUAAAACAUUGAGUAUCACCUUGGGGUGGAAAUGCUAGGCCCAGAGCCUAGGGCUACUCCCACAGCCCUCACUGUUUCCUGAGGAAUAUGGAUGUCUCUUAGAAGAAAUAUCUUAAGACAUACUUGUAUAUGCGGUUCCUCCUAUUGAAAUGUGGCCUUCUGUCAACAACUCUUUAUCUUUAAAAGUAUGGCAUUUGUCUGUACCUGUCACCAGAGUAUGUGAUCUCAGCCUAUUUAAGGAUUUUUAAAUUCGUGCUUUAUAUCCUCAAUGGACAUGAGUUGGAGCAGACUCCGGGAGAUGGUGAAGGACGGAGAAGCCUGGCGUGCUGCAGUCCAUGCCGCUGCAAAGAGCUGGACAGGACUGAGCGGCAGAACAGCAACAAAUAUCCUAUACUUCUAAAUAUUCAAAAGAAGCUUAGAUGUAUUUAACUUUCUCAUGGGCACAUGGGAGAAUUGAAGCUACAAUGCCACAGCUUAGACAUGGGCCACAGGGUGGCUCUUAUCUUGCACUGAGUGGGGUCAACCCCACUAGCUGCUGCAAGGAGCCUCUCCAGCUCCAUCCUUGGUCUGAGAACGAUUAUGGGAAGAAGCAAGGAAGAGACACCCGUGGGGAAAAGACAGGCUCAGGUACCCAGGCCUGGGCCUGACAGCAG
ensembl:lncRNA